UACGGGGGGUGCGAGCGUUGUCCGGAAUCACUGGGCGUAAAGGGCGCGUAGGUGGCGUCGUAAGUCUGUGGUGAAAGCCCGGGGCUCAACCCCGGGUCUGCCGUGGAUACUGCAAGGCUUGAGUACUGUAGAGGCAGGUAGAAUAUCGGGUGUAGCGGUGGAAUGCGUAGAGAUCCGAUAGAAGACCGGUGGCGAAGGCGGCCUGCUGGGCAGUAACUGACACUGAGGCGCGACAGCGUGGGGAGCAAACAGG
rnacentral:rRNA from 1 species